UACCAGCUCUCCGAGUGGUGUGGAUGUUUAUUGGGCCUAAAGCAUCCGUAGCUGGCUAAGUUAGUCCCCUGUUAAAUCCAACGAAUUAAUCGUUGGAUCGCGGGGGAUACUGCUUGGCUAGGGGACGAGAGAGGCAGACGGUAUUUCCGGGGUAGGGGUGAAAUCCUAUAAUCCCGGGAAGACCACCAGUGGCGAAGGCUGUCUGCUAGAACGCGCCCGACGGUGAGGGAUGAAAGCUGGGGGAGCGAACCGGAUUAGAUACCCGGGUAGUCCCAGCUGUAAACGAUGCAGGCUAGGUGUUUGGACGGCCACGUGCCGUUCUAGUGCCGCAGGGAAGCUGUUAAGCCUGCCGCCUGGGGAGUACGAUCGCAAGAUUGAA
rnacentral:rRNA from 1 species